rnacentral:rRNA from 1 species
AUGACCCGUGGCUUUCAGCGGGAACAUGACUGUGACUAUGAUGAGACAUUUGCUCCUAUGGCACGUGUGGUCACUCUUCGCACACUUCCCAAUGUGAUAUUUGUUCGCCACUGGUUUGUCUCUCAGCUUGAUGCCAAGAAUGCAUUUCUUAAUGGUGAGUUGCAUGAGAAAGCCCCUCGUGUCUGGUCUGAGCGUUUUGUCUUAGUGGUGACCGCGGCUAGUUUUUGGCGAGCGCUCAUGAUCCUGCACUUUAUGUGCCCCUUUAGCUCAUGGUCGAACUCUUAUGCUAUAUGUCGAUGCAUGAUCAUCACUGGCGACGACGUUGAGUGGAUUGCCUUUGUGAAUACUCGUCUUAGUGAAUAA